rnacentral:rRNA from 1 species
UACGGAGGGUGCAAGCGUUGUCCGGAAUCACUGGGCGUAAAGGGCGCGUAGGCGGCCCGGUAAGUAGGGGGUGAAAUCCUGCGGCUUAACCGCAGGGCUGCCUUCUAAACUGUCGGGCUCGAGCACGGUAGAGGCAGAUGGAAUUCCCGGUGUAGCGGUGGAAUGCGUAGAGAUCGGGAAGAACAUCAGUGGCGAAGGCGGUCUGCUGGGCCGUUGCUGACGCUGAGGCGCGAAAGCUAGGGGAGCGAACAGG